UUGCAGAAGGACUCCAUCAGGGUUUUAUUCUGCUUCUGGAAUCAAAGCUGCCUUGUCUUCUUUGUCCUUAUGGAGUCCAAGAGACAUGGAUGAUUUGCCAGUGGAUAAUGACAAGGAAACAAAGAAUGCUCAGAGUGCCUGAUGACACAUCAGCACUUACAGACAGGAUGCGUGCUGUGUGCAGUGUAGGACCUCAACAGAAAUAACCUACCUUAAAAGAUGCUCAGAAUCCAGCCCAUGGACAUCUUUCUCAGCACAUGCUCUCAAGCUGGAGGAUGAAGACCAGGUUGGUCUAUGUUCUCUGUUAGACCCUACAUUCCUUGUUGCACCGUGGUGCAUCUUUUUGCCUCUGUUUGUAAUUACAGCUGCUGUUUGAUUGGUCCUGACAGCAGCUUGAAGUGGUCUUUUUGUUUAGAAAUGUGCCCUGGAAGUAUAUUGAUAAAGAGAUGCUAAAGGUAUUAAAAGCUACAGCAUCCCAAGUUACAAUGGAGUUAUAUCUUGUGUAUAUUCCAGUACAGUCUUUGCAGUAUAAAAGCAGAGAUAAA